rnacentral:rRNA from 1 species
UUCUACGGCCACACCACUCUGAACGCACCCAAUCUCGUCUGAUCUUGGAAGCUAAGCAGGCUCCAGCCUGGGUAGUACUCGGACCAAAGAAAGGAUGGGUCGACCCGACCACAGAAA